UACGUAGGGUGCAAGCGUUGUCCGGAAUUAUUGGGCGUAAAGAGCUUGUAGGCGGUUUGUCGCGUCUGCUGUGAAAUUUCGGGGCUCAACCCCGAACUUGCAGUGGGUACGGGCAGGCUAGAGUGUGGUAGGGGAGACUGGAAUUCCUGGUGUAGCGGUGAAAUGCGCAGAUAUCAGGAGGAACACCGAUGGCGAAGGCAGGUCUCUGGGCCAUAACUGACGCUGAGAAGCGAAAGCAUGGGGAGCGAACGGG
rnacentral:rRNA from 1 species